rnacentral:rRNA from 1 species
CCUACGGGAGGCAGCAGUAGGGAAUAUUGCUCAAUGGGGGAAACCCUGAAGCAGCAACGCCGCGUGGAGGAUGAAGGUUUUCGGAUUGUAAACUCCUUUUGUUAGAGAAGAUAAUGACGGUAUCUAACGAAUAAGCACCGGCUAACUCCGUGCCAGCAGCCGCGGUAAUACGGAGGGUGCAAGCGUUACUCGGAAUCACUGGGCGUAAAGAGCGCGUAGGCGGGAUAGCAAGUCAGAGGUGAAAUCCUAGGGCUUAACCAUAGAACUGCAUUUGAAACUGUUAUUCUAGAGUAUGGGAGAGGUAGGUGGAAUGCUUGGUGUAGGGGUAAAAUCCGUAGAGAUCAAGAGGAAUACUCAUUGCGAAGGCGACCUGCUAGAACAUAACUGACGCUGAUGCGCGAAAGCGUGGGGAGCAAACAGGAUGAGAUACCCUAGUAGUC